rnacentral:rRNA from 1 species
GGAGUUAGCCGGUGCUUCUUCUGCGAGUAACGUCACAGAUGUAAGGUAUUAACUUACACCCUUUCCUCCUCGCUGAAAGUGCUUUACAACCCGAAGGCCUUCUUCACACACGCGGCAUGGCUGCAUCAGGGUUUCCCCCAUUGUGCAAUAUUCCCCACUGCUGCCUCCCGUAGGAGUCUGGGCCGUGUCUCAGUCCCAGUGUGGCUGAUCAUCCUCUCAGACCAGCUAGGGAUCGUCGCCUAGGUGAGCCUUUACCUCACCUACUAGCUAAUCCCACCUGGGCUUAUCCAUCAGCGCAAGGCCCGAAGGUCCCCUGCUUUCCCCCGUAGGGCGUAUGCGGUAUUAGCAGUCGUUUCCAACUGUUAUCCCCCACAAAUGGGCAAAUUCCCAAGGCAUUACUCACCCGUCCGCCGCUCGUCAUCUUCAAAAGCAAGCUUUUGAAAUGUUACCGCUCGACUUGCAUGUGUUAGGCCUGCCGCCAGCGUUCAAUCUGAGCCAGGAUCAAACUCUAGA